rnacentral:misc_RNA from 1 species
AAGUCGUAACAAGGUCUCCGUUGGUGAACCAGCGGAGGGAUCAUUACAAGAAGCCGAAAGGCUACUUAAAACCAUCGCGAACUUAUCCCAGUUGCUUCGGCGGCGCGGCUCCCCUAACGGGGCGCCGCAGCCCCCGCCUCUCGGGAGGUACGGGGCGCCCGCCGGAGGUACGAAACUCUGUAUUAUAGUGGCAUCUCUGAGUAAAAAACAAAUAAGUUAAAACUUUCAACAACGGAUCUCUUGGUUCUG